rnacentral:pre_miRNA from 1 species
GAGUGAACCGCGUCAAUUUUCACAGUUUGAUGUGUGAAAGUUGAUGGUGGUACACAAUU